rnacentral:misc_RNA from 1 species
AAGACUAUAGACCUGCGGAGUACCUGCGGAGGGAUCAUUACAGAGUUGCAAAACUCCAAACCAUUGUGAACUUACCUUUGCCGUUGCUUCGGCGGGCGGCCCGGGUCCCGACCCGGCGCCCCCCGGCCCCGUCAGGGGCGCCCGCCGGAGGUAAACCAAACUCUUGAAUUGUAUGGCCUCUCUGAGUCUUCUGUACUGAAUAAGUCAAAACUUUUAGCAAUGGAUCUCUAGAUCGGAAGA